rnacentral:rRNA from 1 species
GAUGAACGCUGGCGGCGUGCCUAAUACAUGCAAGUCGAGCGAACAGAUGAGGAGCUUGCUCCUCUGACGUUAGCGGCGGACGGGUGAGUAACACGUGGAUAACCUACCUAUAAGACUGGGAUAACUUCGGGAAACCGGAGCUAAUACCGGAUAAUAUAUUGAACCGCAUGGUUCAAUAGUGAAAGACGGUUUUGCUGUCACUUAUAGAUGGAUCCGCGCCGCAUUAGCUAGUUGGUAAGGUAACGGCUUACCAAGGCAACGAUGCGAAGCCGACCUGAGAGGGUGAUCGGCCACACUGGAACUGAGACACGGUCCAGACUCCUACGGGAGGCAGCAGUAGGGAAUCUUCCGCAAUGGGCGAAAGCCUGACGGAGCAACGCCGCGUGAGUGAUGAAGGUCUUCGGAUCGUAAAACUCUGUUAUUGGGGAAGAACAAAUGUGUAAGUAACUAUGCACGUCUUGACGGUACCUAAUCAGAAAGCCACGGCUAACUACGUG